rnacentral:rRNA from 1 species
GACGAACGCUGGCGGCGUGCUUAACACAUGCAAGUCGAACGGAAAGGCCCUGCUCUUGUGCGGUGCUCGAGUGGCGAAAGGGUGAGUAACACGCGAGUAACCUGCCCUUUACUUCGGGAUAACUUCGGGAAACUGGGGCUAAUAUCGGACAGGAGCACCUGCUGCAUGGUGGGGGUUGGUGAGUUUCGCAGGUUGGGGAUGGACUCGCGGCUCAUCAGCUUGUUGGUGGGGUAGUGGCUUACCAAGGCAUCGACGGGUAGCCGGACUGAGAGGGUGACCGGCCACAAUGGGACUGAGAUACGGCUCAGAGUGCUACGUGAGGCAGCAGUGGGAAUUUUUGCACGAUGGGCGGAAGCCGUGUGCAGCAACGCCGCGUGCGGGAUGACUGCCUUCGGGGUGUAACCCGCUUUCGCCUGUGACGAAGCGUGAGUGACGGUAAUGGGUAAAGAAGCGCCGGCUAACUACGUG